AGCGACUAAGCGUACACGGUGGAUGCCCUGGCAGUMAGAGGCGAURAAGGGCGUGCUAAUCUGCGAUAAGCGACGGUAAGCCGAUAURAGGCGCUAUACCCGUCGAUACCCGAAUGGGAAACCCGGUGCACUGCGGUGCAUCAUCGUUAAGUGAAUACAUAGCUUAACGAGGCGAACCUGGGGAACUGAAACAUCUAAGUACCCAGAGGAAAAGAAAUCAACCGAGAUUCCCCCAGUAGCGGCGAGCGAACGGGGAACAGCCCAGAACCUGAAUCAGUUUGUGUGUCAGUGGAAGCGUCUGGAAAGUCGCAGGGUACAGGGUGAUACUCCCGUACACAAAGGCACACUUGCUGUGAGUUCGAUGAGUAGGGCGGGACACGUGACAWCCUGUCUGAAUAUGGGGGGACCAUCCUCCAAGGCUAAAUACUCCUGACUGACCGAUAGUGAACCAGUACCGUGAGGGAAAGGCGAAAAGAACCCCGGCGAGGGGAGUGAAACAGAACCUGAAACCGUGUACGUACAAGCAGUGGAAGCCCUCUUCAGGGGGGUGACUGCGUACCUUUUGUAUAAUGGGUCAGCGACUUAUAUUCUGUAGCAAGGUUAACCGUAUAGGGGAGCCGCAGGGAAACCGAGUCUUAACUGGGCGUUAAGUUGCAGGGUAUAGACCCGAAACCCGGUGAUCUAGCCAUGGGCAGGUUGAAGGUUGGGUAACACUAACUGGAGGACCGAACCGACUAAUGUUGAAAAAUUAGCGGAUGACUUGUGGCUGGGGGUGAAAGGCCAAUYAAACCGGGAGAWAGCUGGUUCUCCCCGAAAGCUAUUUAGGUAGCGCCUYGUGAACUCAUCUUCCGGGGGUAGARCACUGUUUCGGCUARGGGGCCAUCCCGGCUUACCAACCCGAUGCAAACUGCGAA
rnacentral:rRNA from 1 species